AAGGUUAGCUAAUCCUGGUCGGACAUCAGGAGGUUAGUGCAAUGGCAUAAGCUAGCUUGACUGCGAGCGUGACGGCGCGAGCAGGUGCGAAAGCAGGUCAUAGUGAUCCGGUGGUUCUGAAUGGAAGGGCCAUCGCUCAACGGAUAAAAGGUACUCCGGGGAUAACAGGCUGAUACCGCCCAAGAGUUCAUAUCGACGGCGGUGUUUGGCACCUCGAUGUCGGCUCAUCACAUCCUGGGGCUGAAGUAGGUCCCAAGGGUAUGGCUGUUCGCCAUUUAAAGUGGUACGCGAGCUGGGUUUAGAACGUCGUGAGACAGUUCGGUCCCUAUCUGCCGUGGGCGCUGGAGAAUUGAGGGGGGCUGCUCCUAGUACGAGAGGACCGGAGUGGACGCAUCACUGGUGUUCGGGUUGUCAUGCCAAUGGCACUGCCCGGUAGCUAAAUGCGGAAGAGAUAAGUGCUGAAAGCAUCUAAGCACGAAACUUGCCCCGAGAUGAGUUCUCCCUGAGACUUUAAGUCUCCUGAAGGAACGUUGAAGACGACGACGUUGAUAGGCCGGGUGUGUAAGCGCAGCGAUGCGUUGAGCUAACCGGUACUAAUGAACCGUGAGGCUUAACCUU
rnacentral:rRNA from 3 species